rnacentral:snoRNA from 1 species
UGUGAGAUGAUGAUAAACUGUCACUGAAUAUUGCGACUCAAUCUAUUUUGGAGAGAGUUGCGAUUCUUAAAGGAUGUUCGCUGUUGCGAGGCAUUUGCCUGAUCUUAUC